GUUGAAAAUUGUAUUGAAAUAAAGUAGAAAAUGUUCGGUAUCAUAUUUGUAACUAUCAACUUUUAAAAACAUUUGACUGUUUUUGUUACAUGCAUUGUAUUUCUGCUUUGUCUAUAAGAAGUGGUCAAGUCCAACUCUGUGACAACUCUUAACUUGCCUCCCUGUUAAUAAGUCUUUGAUUCUGAAGUGAACGUUAGCUUUUCUCAAACCCACACAAAUCCUUGAACAGGAAUUGUUUAUAGUGACCACACUAAUUAUUUUAACUGUACACAUCAGUUUAACAUCUUUUAAAAUUUGAACACUACGUAGUAGGGUGACUAAUUUUUGAAGAAUAUCACAAAGUUGCUAUUAUGGUAAACUAGUUUCACACUUCAGCAAACAUAAGGAGGACAGCUUUGUUAAUAGCUAAAAAGUACAAAUUAAAAGAUUUGAGAAAGUGGUAUUUUUUUCUGAAAGCAAACAAUGGCUUGUAAAGUCAUUUGAAGAGACUUUCCAAUAUGAAUUCAAAAUUCCACUCUUAUCUGAUAGUUUGAGUCAUGGUCUUAGAUACCAGCUACCUACGAGAGAGAGAGAAAUUGGUUUGUAAUAUCAGUGUAAGUAAAAUCCUGAUUCCAUAAACCUGGUUGUAUUUAAAACAAAAAACAAAACUACAAUGAAACUUGGGAGUCCUUUUCAUGUAGAGGAAGGUUAUCCUGUAGCAUAAUGUAUGCACACGGUCAUCUAGUACCUGAUUGGAUAGCUUACAUAUUUAUUGGAUGCUUUGAACAGCUGUAUAUUAGUCCAUAACAUAACUACAAGAUUAGAUAGAGGCAACAUACUGUUAAGUCAUAUUUAAGUAAUUAGUUUUCUCUUAAUGUUGCCAAUAGAAGGCUUGAGCAGGAAGCUUGUAGCACUGAUCUAAUUGUGUGUACAACCAUCAACUUAAAUUUAUAAAAUGGCCUUUUUCUUGGCGUCUAUUCUUUAGGUAAAUAUGUUUCUUUUUCUUUUUCUUUUUUUUUUUUUUUGCUAUUUGUUUAAUAGCUUUUAAAGGAAUAAAGCAAACCAGUGCUAAGAAUUUUUUUUUUAAAGCUAGCUACAUUGCAGCAGAGUUGUUGUGUAUGUGUGCAUUUAAAGAAGAUAAUGCUUAUUCUGUUAAUGCACACUUUUAAGUUUUGAUGAUUUUUUACAGUGUUUUAGACCUUGAAUAGCUAGUGGCUUUUGCUAAAAACUUUUGGCAACAAAAUUAAACUAAAACCAAAGUCAACAUGUGAAGUGUUUAUCAUAAGAUCCUCAGGAGUCAGUAUUGCAUGAUGCUCCCCUUAAUUGUCACACUGAAAUUAUGUAGUAAAUCAGAAAAUACCUGAAAAGCAACUUUAUUGCUUCAAUCUGGAUAUAAGUAGUUAUUUAUAAAUAGUUAAGAUUAAUUUAAAUGUAAAAACGUGCUUAAUUCCCUAAUAAUUUUCAUACCAUUCCUAUUUUAUAUGAAUAUCCACCUUCAUUUCAACAGUUCCUUGGUUACACACUCAAUCUUUACGUUUGUACUGCUUACCUUUACUUUCUCCACAACAGAGACAAGCAGAUUGGUUGAACCUUAUUUAAUGAGGAGUAACAGGCUGUUUUUAAGUGUUUGCCUGUGGCUACUUCCGUUCUAUAGCUCAAGAAUAUGCCAUUACAUCAUAGUCAAGGGGUUGCUAUGAGAACUGUAGUAGAGAAUACCACUGUGAGUCUUCUCCUUUUCAGAGCCAAACACAAAGCAGCCUGCGUGCAUUCUUUGAGGUGAGCAUUUAAUCACACACUUGAUGACAUUACAAAGCUAAACCAUGCCUCUUGGUAAAGCUGCUUGAUUACAAGUGCCAGGAAAACGACUGUUAUCCACUGCGUACUACAUGUUACAUGCUGCAUACUGUAUGUUACACACUGCAUACUAUGUGUUAUACACUGCAUACACAUACUUCCUUUACCCAGAGAAAAGAAAUAAAAUUGAACCAAAGGAUUUUCCCAGAAAAAAACAAGAAAGCAGUUUUAGAAGGCCAUGACUCAAUUCUUAGGUUUGUAUGCUUAAACAUCUUAGGAAUUUUAAUAUAAAAAGAAAAGGCUUUCCCAUUUGCACUCUAUUUCAAAGAAUUGUUAUUGUUCCCUUUCGUUAAAAUCAGUGUUGGGAAUUAAAUUAUAAUUUGAGGGGAAAAUAUCCAAUGGGAAUGAAUGUAGAUGGCUAAAGGACUCUUCCUCAGUGUGGUGUAUAUUUCAACAGGGACCCUUGUAAAUUGUCAUAUGCCAAUAAAAUGUCCUAAGUGGU
rnacentral:lncRNA from 1 species